AUAGGCCAGUCUACACCAGGAGGAAUUGAGCUCAAAAGUAUUGAUUAAGGGGUAAAAGUAGACGAGAAAUUCAUUGGAAUACUUGGUUUUGUCCGAAACAAACUCCUUUUGGUGAAAAACAGCAUUAAAGUUCGCGAAUUUUCGAGUUUCGCGCCCGCGGUUGUGACGUCAUAAUGCAGAAAUUCGCGCGCGCCCUCCCUGGAGGGGUUUUCUUUUAUUGACCGGCGGUACCACCGACCACCAAACUGCGUUUUUUAACUCACCGGUCGGUGCUGACGUCACGACCGGAGGAGCCACCGCCGGUGGAUUUGGUACCACCAAUCUACCGCUCGAACAACCGGAGAUUUCUCCGGUACUUUCAAUCCACCGGUCCGUCGGUGGACAAUCUAACCUAUUUUUAGUCUCUUCGAAGGCCUAAAUCAAAGGAGAAAACGUGGGUUUUUGUUCGAUCUUCCGCGCCUGCCGCCGCUAAGUCUAAUAAUACUGUCGCCUGUGUAGUGAAUAAAGUUAUUAGUGUCACUUUUCCUCUCAUAUUUUUAAUAAUGGCACUAGCAGAAACAGAGUUAAUGCUGGUCCCUGUCAUGGAAGGGGAUAAAAUAAAGAAGGUGGUAAACUCCUGUGGUGGCUGGAACCUGCUGUUUAUGGAUUCACUUGAUAAUGGUAAAAUGCAUUACAUACCCGUGGAGGAGGCCUUGAAAUGCAGUGAGAUCCAUGAAAUCAUCCCUAGUGAAUUUCUUGACAUACCAGAGGAAAUUUCAGAAGCAGAUGAUCCCUCAAGUUCUGUGGAGGUACAAUCGGGAGAAUGUUCGAAACCAGAGAAGAAAGAGAAGUUUUGGAGCCGUAAAAAAGUUCUCUUCCUAUUAGAGGCACGAAUCUCCCAGGAAGCAGAAUUUGCCAAAGCCACUGUAGGUGGUAAAGGGAAGAUUUGGGGAAGAAUUGCAGAAGCAGCGUCCCAAGAGUUUGGUGUUCCAGUGCUUCCAAAAAAGUGCGAAGAAAAAUUCCGCAAUCUGUGGAAAACCUACAGAGAUAACAAAGACAGAGCUUCAAAGACUGGUGAGGCCAAUAUUGCAUGGGAAUUUUUCAAUAUAUUCGACACAGUCUACGGGGCAAAGGAGAAUGUUUCGCCCAAUGCGGAUCAUUUAGGAACGACACCCAAGCCUCCCUCUUACAAACAGACUGGCCCCUCCAAGAAAAUCCCCACAUUGACACCACGUCAGUCUUACUUGCUCAAUGCCACUACCCCGUCCUUGUCCUCAAUGACCUCUUCUAAGACUUCUCCCCCUGUCACUAAGCCCGCCCCACCCACCAUCGCCUCUCCCACUCAUCCUGCUUUUGCAUCAACCCCUAAUAAAAACUUCUCCAACCUGCCGCUUGUCAGGUUCACAGGUGACCGCAUCUUGGUCCAUCCCAGAGAAGCGAAGUAGAACAUCAUCAGAAAGUACAUCGACUCCUCCAAAUUUGUAUCCUCUCACCCCAUCUCAAACAUCCACAUCUAUCGCUGGUGCAACCACUGCCCUUUUUAGUUCAUAUCGGCGACCCUCAACUUCUUCUUCCACCCAUUCAACCACUUCUACACAAAGCAGUGCAUCAUUUCUUGAUGAAGAGGAUGCAGACGCUCCGGACACUCCCCCUCCUGCUGAUCAGGGAAAUGAGGAUGAAGAAGUUCUAGAUAGGAUUUAUCUUAGUGAUAAGGGACCGACAAAACUGCUGAAGAAAACAGCAAAGAAACCGUUGAGCAAGCAAAACUUGCUUGAAAAGUAUGUUGCCAGCAGAGAAGAAGAGAAGGCUCUGAAAGCAGCAGAGAAAGAGGAAAAAAGACGCUAUCGAGAGCAGUUAUUGUUGGUAGAGCAAAAGAGGAACGAACUGUUGGCAGAAUACAUUGCAUUGAAAAAGAAAGAGAUGAAAGAUCCCCAAGAUUUAGCAUAAGCAAUGUCACUGACCUAGCUGUUUGGUGAAAGGCUUUGGAUUUCGAUGGUGAAAUUCUACAAUACUUGACUGCUUCCUCUUCAGUUUUACGAGAUGAACUAUUAAAUGUGCAAGUAAUGCCUUUUCAUGUAGGUUUAAGAUUUAGUCAAGAUUUUAUGUUUCCUGUUUAAGUUUAUGCGAUCUCGUCUUUUUUGGUUGAAGGAGUUGUCAAGUUUAUGUUUUGUUGCAUAAUUUAAUCGGCCUACUACUUACUGUAAAUUUAUGUUUGAUGAAAGGCUUUGGAUUUCGAUGGUGAAAUUCUACAAUACGUAGACUGACUCCUCUUUAGUUUUACGAAAUGAACUAUUAAAUGUGCAAGUAAUGCCUUUUUCAUGUAGGUUUAAGAUUUAGUCAAGUUUUUAUGUUUCCUGUUUUAAGUUUAUGCGAUCUCGUCUUUUUUGGUUGAAGGAGUUGUCAAGUUUAUGUUUUGCUGCAUAAUUUAAUCGGCCUACUACUAAUUGUAAAUUUAUGUUUGAUGAAAGGCUUUGGAUUUCGAUGGUGAAAUUCUACAAUACGUAGACCGAUUCCUCUUCAGUUUUACGAGAUGAACUAUUAAAUGUGCAAGUAAUGCCUUUUUCAUGUAGGUUUAAGAUUUAGUCAAGUUUUUAUGUUUCCUGUUUUAAGUUUAUGCGAUCUCGUCUUUUUUGGUUGAAGGAGUUGUCAAGUUUAUGUUUUGUUGCAUAAUUUAAUCGGCCUACUACUUAUUGUAAAUUUAUGUUUGAUGAAAGGCUUUGGAUUUCGAUGGUGAAAUUCUACAAUACGUAGACCGAUUCCUCUUUAGUUUAACGAGAAUAACUAAUAAAUGUGCAAGUAAUGCCUUUUUCAUGUAGGUUUAAUUCAGUCAAGUUUUUAUGUUUCCUGUUUUAAGUAUAUGUGAUCUCGUCUAUUUUGGUUGAAGGAGUUGUCAAGUUUAUAUUUUAGAAAAAGUUUAUGUUUAUGUUGUUAAGUUGAUUACAUUAUCUGCACACCAGGUGCUCUUCAGAUUAGUAAAAAAGUUGCCUUUCAGUGCCAUUUUUCACUUCACAUAUAAUAAUCCUAUUUAGUUUCAGUAGAAUUAGUGUCAAGUAUUAAUUUGUAUUAUCUUUAUAUCAACAAUUACAUCAUUUUUCACUAUAAUA
rnacentral:lncRNA from 1 species